rnacentral:misc_RNA from 1 species
AAGUCGUAACAAGGUAUCUGUAGGUGAACCUGCAGAUGGAUCAUUUCGAUGAAAAACCUUUUUUCUGAGGUGCGGCCCGCACCUGUCUAACUAAAACAGGGCUAUCCAAUUCAACACGGUUGCAUCGGUUGGGCUUGCCAGACAGAGCACGCGAAAGCGUUCUCUCAACGGCAGCCUGACACCAACAAAAACACUUUUGAUGACAUAGGAUUUGAAAGUAUUUUAUUAUUAAACGGCUGGUAAUGCGGUCGUCUAAAAUUUUAAAAACAACUUUUGGCAACGGAUCUCUUGGUUCUCC